GGGGACAUAGCUCAGUUGGGAGAGCAACAGACUGAAGUAUUUCUUCUGUCUUCUGGAGGUCCCCAGUUCAAUCCUGGGUGUCCCCA